rnacentral:rRNA from 1 species
AUUGAACGCUGGCGGCAUGCCUUACACAUGCAAGUCGAACGGCAGCACGGGUGCUUGCACCUGGUGGCGAGUGGCGAACGGGUGAGUAAUACAUCGGAACGUACCUUAUCGUGGGGGAUAACGCAGCGAAAGCUGUGCUAAUACCGCAUACGCCCUGAGGGGGAAAGCGGGGGAUCGCAAGACCUCGCGCGAUUAGAGCGGCCGAUGCCUGAUUAGCUUGUUGGUGGGGUAAAAGCCCACCAAGGCGACGAUCAGUAGCUGGUCUGAGAGGACGAUCAGCACCACUGGGACUGAGACACGGCCCAGACUCCUACGGGAGGCAGCAGUGGGGAAUUUUGGACAAUGGUGGCGACCCUGAUCCAGCAAUGCCGCAUGAGUGAAGAAGGCCUUCGGGUUGUAAAGCUCUUUUGUCAGGGAAGAAACACCGGCUCUAACACAGUCUGGGAAUGACGGUACCUGAAGAAUAAGCACCGGCUAACUACGUGCCAGCAGCCGCAGUAA